rnacentral:tRNA from 1 species
CUUGAUUUGGCUCAGUGGAUAGAGCAUCAGUCUGCAGACUGAAAGGUCCUGGGUUUGAUUCCAGUCAAGG